rnacentral:rRNA from 1 species
CCUACGGGAGGCAGCAGUGAGGAAUAUUGGUCAAUGGACGCAAGUCUGAACCAGCCAUGCCGCGUGCAGGAAGACGGCUCUAUGAGUUGUAAACUGCUUUUGUACGAGGGUAAACGCAGAUACGCGUAUCUGUCUGAAAGUAUCGCACGAAUAAGGCUCGGCUAACUCCGUGCCAGCAGCCGCGGUAAUACGGAGGAUUCAAGCGUUAUCCGGAUUUAUUGGGUUUAAAGGGUGCGUAGGCGGUCGGAUAAGUUAGGGGUGAAAUCCCGGGGCUCAACUUCGGAAUUGCCUCGGAUACGGUGCGGCUAGAGAGUAGGUGCGGUAGGCGGAAUGUAUGGUGUAGCGGUGAAAUGCUUAGAGAUCAUACAGAACACCGAUUGCGAAGGCAGCUUACCAAGCUACUUCUGACGUUGAGGCACGAAAGCGUGGGGAGCAAACAGGAUUAGAUACCCCUGUAGUC